rnacentral:rRNA from 1 species
AGCGAACGCUGGCGGUAGGCCUAACACAUGCAAGUCGAACGGCAGCACAGUAAGAGCUUGCUCUUACGGGUGGCGAGUGGCGGACGGGUGAGGAAUACAUCGGAAUCUACUUUUUCGUGGGGGAUAACGUAGGGAAACUUACGCUAAUACCGCAUACGACCUACGGGUGAAAGCAGGGGAUCUUCGGACCUUGCGCGAUUGAAUGAGCCGAUGUCGGAUUAGCUAGUUGGCGGGGUAAAGGCCCACCAAGGCGACGAUCCGUAGCUGGUCUGAGAGGAUGAUCAGCCACACUGGAACUGAGACACGGUCCAGACUCCUACGGGAGGCAGCAGUGGGGAAUAUUGGACAAUGGGCGCAAGCCUGAUCCAGCCAUACCGCGUGGGUGAAGAAGGCCUUCGGGUUGUAAAGCUCUUUUGUUGGGAAAGAAAAGCAGCAGGUUAAUACCCCGCUGUUCUGACGGUACCCAAAGAAUAAGCACCGGCUAACUUCGUG